rnacentral:rRNA from 1 species
AACGAACGCUGGCGGCAUGCCUAACACAUGCAAGUCGAACGAGACCUUCGGGUCUAGUGGCGCACGGGUGCGUAACGCGGGGGAACCUGCCCUUAGGUUCGGAAUAACUCCCCGAAAGGGGUGCUAAUACCGGAUAAUGUCUUCGGACCAAAGAUUUAUCGCGUUUGGGUGGGCCCGCGUUGGAUUAGCUAGUUGGUAGGGUAAAAGCCUACCAAGGCGACGAUCCAUAGCUGGUCUGUGAGGAUGAUCAGCCAGACUGGGACUGCGACACGGCCCAGACUCCUACGGGAGGCAGCAGUGGGGAAUAUUGGACGAUGGGCGAAAGCCUGAUACAGCAAUGCCGCGUGAGUGAUGAAGGCCUUAGGGUUGUAAAGCUCUUUUACCCGGGAUGAUAGUGACAGUACCGGGAGAAUAAGCUCCGGCUAACUCCGUG